AAAGGAAUUGACGGGGGCCCGCACAAGCAGUGGAGCAUGUGGUUUAAUUCGAAGCAACGCGAAGAACCUUACCGGGGUUUGACAUCCGGCGAAUUUGGUAGAGAUACCGAAGUGCCCUUUUGGGAGCGUCGAGACAGGUGGUGCAUGGUUGUCGUCAGCUCGUGUCGUGAGAUGUUGGGUUAAGUCCCGCAACGAGCGCAACCCCUGUUCAUAGUUGCCAUCAUUAAGUUGGGCACUCUAUGGAGACUGCCGCAGAGAAUGCGGAGGAAGGUGGGGAUGACGUCAAAUCAUCAUGCCCCUUAUAUCCCGGGCUACACACGUGCUACAAUGGCCUGUACAGCGGGGUGCGAAGGAGCGAUCCCGAGCCAAUCCCACAAAGCAGGUCCCAGUUCGGAUUGCAGGCUGCAACCCGCCUGCAUGAAGCCGGAAUUGCUAGUAAUCGCGGAUCAUCAUGCCGCGGUGAAUACGUUCCCGGGCCUUGUACACACCGCCCGU
rnacentral:rRNA from 1 species